AAUUUCUGAGCUCGCCGAGCGGCGGUCUUUGGCCGACCACUCCGCAAGUUCAUCCUCGCCCCUCGGGGCGUCAUUUACUGUGAAAAAAUUAGGGUGUUUAAAGCAGGCUUUAGGCUUGAAUACAUUAGCAUGGAAUAAUGAGAUAGGACCAAGUCGUAUUUUGUUGGUUGCGCGAUUCGGUAAUGAUUAAUAGGGACAGUUGGGGGUAUUCAUAUUUAAUUGUCAGAGGUGAAAUUCUUAGAUUUAUUAAAGAUGAACUACUGCGAAAGCAUUUACCAAGGAUGUUUUCAUUAAUCAAGAACGAAAGUCAGGGAUCGAAGAGGAUUAGAUACCCUCGUAGUCUUGACCAUAAACUAUGCCGACUCAGGAUUGGCACCCUUUUUUAACAGGGUGUCAGCACUGUAUGAAAAAUCAAAGUCUUUGGGUUCCGGGGGGAGUAUGGUCGCAAGGCUGAAACUUAGAGGAAUUGACGGAAGGGCACCACCAGGAGUGGAGCCUGCGGCUUAAUUUGACUCAACACGGGGAAACUUACCAGGUCCAGACAUGGUGAGGGUUGACAGAU
rnacentral:rRNA from 1 species